UCCGGUUGAUCCUGCCGGACCCGACCGGUAUCGGGGUGGGGCUAAGCCAUGCAAGUCGUACGUCCUCCAGCCACGUGGGGGACGUGGCGCACGGCUCAGUAGUACGCAGCUAACCUAACCUAAGGAGGGGGAUAAUCCCGGGAAACUGGGGCUAAUACCCCAUAGACCUGGGGUACUGGAAGGUCCUCAGGUCAAAAUGGGUGGGCUGGCAUGCCGGUCCACCUGCCUUAGGAUGGGGCUGCGUCCGAUCAGGUAGUUGGCGGGGUAAAGGCCCACCAAGCCUAUGACCGGUGCGGGCUCUGAGAGGAGGAGCCCGGAGAUGGACCUGAGACAAGGGUCCAGGCCCUACGGGGCGCAGCAGGCGCGAAACCUUCGCAAUGCCCGAAAGGGUGACGAGGCUACCCCGAGUGUCGUCCGCUAAGGACGACUUUUGUCGGGUCUAAAAAGCCCGACGAAUAAGGGGAGGGCAAGUCUGGUGUCAGCCGCCGCGGUAAUACCAGCUCCCCGACUGGUCGGGACGAUUAUUGGGUCUAAAGCGUCCGUAGCCGGCCCUGUAUGUGGUCCGUUAAAUCCAGCGGCUCAACCGCUGGGCUGCGGAUCAUACUACGGGGCUAGGGGACGGGAGAGGCCGGGGGUACUCCGCGGGUAGGGGUAAAAUCCGCUGAUCCGCGGAAGACCAACAGUGGCGAGGGCGCCCGGCCAGAACGCGCCCGACGGUGAGGGACGAAAGCCAGGGGAGCGAACCGGAUUAGAUACCCGGGUAGUCCUGGCCGUAAACGAUGCCCGCUAGGUCUUGGUGAAGCUUAGGGUUUCACCAGGGCCGCAGGGAAGCCGUUAAGCGGGCCACCUGGGGAGUACGGCCGCAAGGCUGAAACUUAAAGGAAUUGGCGGGGGAGCACCACAAGGGGUGAAGCCUGCGGUUUAAUUGGAGUCAACGCCGGG
rnacentral:rRNA from 1 species